rnacentral:tRNA from 1 species
UGGGGUGUAGCCAAGUGGUAAGGCAGCGGUUUUUGGUAUCGCCAUUCGUGGGUUCGAGUCCUACCACCCCAGCCA